CUCUUUCCCUCCCUCUUUCCCUCUCUCUGUGCUGGUGUGUGUGUGUGUGUGUGUGUGUGUGUGUGUGUGUGUGUGUGUGUGUGUGUGUGUGUGUGUGUGUGUGUGUGUGUGUGUGUGUUGGUGUGAGGGGAUCACUUUGUUCCCAUUUUCUGCUGUGCCGCAGGCACACAUAGUGUAGAGGAUUGGUGAAGAUACUGAUGGGGAUGCACAGCUGCACGUAGAAAGCAGAAGCCGGUUCUCACUCUUGAGCUCCCCAUCCCAACAACGGGACUACCGCCAUCCUCCCUCUCCGAAGACGGGGGUGGGGGGGGAGUGGAUCCGAGGAGGGAGAGGGGAAUCUUUUCACUCCUGGUGUUGGAUGUCAUGCUCUGCUCUGCGUAGUGAUAGGAAGAGAGUGAGAUUACUCCAUGCCCUGUAAGGCACACAAUCAACAAGGUACUGUGGAGCCCCCCCCCCCCCUCUUUCUCUCUCAGUGUAUGCUCACUCACAGGACGAAGAGAAGUAGGUAGCCAAGGUGUAAGGGACAGGGUGGCUGAAGGGUGGUGUUCCUCAGACGGAGCAGAGCAGAACGCUCUCCCCUCCUCUCCCCUUGUCAUUAGUAUGCAGUAGCUGUUCCCCAGGCGACAGGGCCACUGGGUUCGGGCUGAGCUUACUGCAAGAGGAAAGUCAGCGACACAGAGGAGAGGAGGACAGCAGGUAAGGGUAAUGAGAACAGGCAGAGAAAGGAAAGGAGGAAAGAGAGAAGGAGGGAAGAAGAGGACAAGCGAAAGAAGGGCAAGAUGUCCCAAGAGGCUUUGGGGGUGCACUCCGUACACUCUCCAGACACUAACACACACACACACACACACACACACACACACACACACACACACACACACACACACACACACACACACAUACACACACACACCUAAACUCUUUUAAAAAAGGGUUCCAAAAGGGUUAUAUGACUGUCCCCAUAGGAGAACCCUUUUUGGUUCCAGGUAGAACCCUUUUUAGUUCAAUGUAGAACCAGAACCUACCUGGAAGCAAAAAUAGUUCAUCAAAGGUUUCUCCAAUAGGGACAGCCAAUGAACCCAUUUAGGUUCUUGAUAGCACCUUUUUGUUUCUAAGUAUACAGUGCAUUCGGAAAGUAUUCAGACCUCUUCACUUUUUCCACAUUUUGUCAUGUUACAGCCUUAUUCUAUAAUGGAUGACAUUUUUUUUUAAAUUCCCCUUAUCAAUCUAUACACAAUACCCCAUAAUGACAAAGCAAAAACAGGUUUUUAGACAUUUUUGCAGACAAUGAGUAAAAAAUAUCGCUUUUACAGAAAUAUUCAGACCCUUUACUCAGUACUUUGUUGAAGCACCUUUGGCAGCAAUUACAGCAUUGAGUCUUCCUGGGUAUGAUGCUACAAGCUUGGCACACAUGCAUUUGGGGUGUUUCUCCCAUUCUGCUCUGUCAGGUUGGAUGGGGAGCAUCGCUGCACAGCUAUUAUCAGGUCUCUCCAGAAAUGUUUGAUCACUUUCAAGUCUGGUUUCUUGUUGGGCCACUCAAGGACAUUCAGAGACUUGUUUUUGAAGCCACUCCUGCAUUGUCUUGGCUGUGUGCUUAGGGUCUUUGUCCUGUUGGAAGGUGAACCUUCACCCCAGUCUGAGGUCCUGAGAGCUUUGAAGCAGGUUUUCAUCAAGGAUCUCUCUGUACUUUGAUCUGUUCAUCUUUCCCCCGAUCCUGAUUAGUCUCCCAGUCCCUGCCACAGAAAAAACAUUGCCACAGAAUGAUGCUGCCACCACCAUGCUUCACCGUAGGAUUGGUGCCAGGUUUCCUCCAGAAGUGACUCUUUGCAUUCAGGCCAAAGAGUUCAAUCUUGGUUUCAUCAGACCAAAGAAUGUUGUUUCUCAUGGUCUGAUAGUCUUUAGGUGCCUUUUGGCAAACUCCAAGUGGACUGUUAUGUGCCUUUUACUGAGGAGUGGCAUCCAUCUAGCUACUCUAAUGGCCUGAUUGGUGGAGUGCUGCAGAGAUGGUUUUCCUUCUGGAAGGUUCUCCCAUCUCCACAGAGGUACUCUCACAGAGGAACUCUCACGGAAAUACUUUCCGAAUGUGCUGUAUAUGUAUUAAAGGUCCAAUGCAGUUGUUUUAUUCUCAAUAUCAAAUAUAAUUUGUAGGUAACAGUUAAGUACCUUACUGUGAUUAUUUUUUAACUAAAAUGGUCAAGAAGAAAAAAAAUGUGCUUCUUCGCAAAGAGCACUGGGCCUUUAAUGGCAAAACACCCGACUAGAAACUUUAUGUCAAGCGCACAUCAUGUAUCCAAAAAGCAAGAACAAAUGUAUUCUCUCUCACAAACACGCAAGGGGAGUUUGGGUAAUGUUUGGUACUUUUGGCUUUUUUCUUUGUAAGAGCCUUUAUGACUAUAUAGUGAUAAUGUAAUGCUUCUUGAGAUACAUAUGUUAUAUCUUCAGCUUUACAGCAUGAUUUUGUCUAAUAUAUUGUAUUUUAUUAUGUUAUUACGUAGACAUUUUUUUUUCUUCAAAUAAAUGUUUUACAUUUUUGAGAAUAGUGUUAUAAAGAAAGCAAAUGAUUGAAUGCAAACAGUGUAAAAUGUCAUUACAAAUUGUGUGAAAAUAAACAGAUUAAUAUUC